GGCAAGACUGGUUUCAUCGAUUUUCACUGCUCCUGAGGCCAGACGGAAUGCCCCUUACAAGGCAGGCGCCCCGAUAAAUGAGUGCCGGACAAGCAAAUAAUCAUCAGCAAAUCCUGCCAGAUUUGAAGCCUCUGUAGUAUUCCCCCUCUCCUUCCGCAUGGACCCAGACUGGACCGGGUUUCAGCAGCUAAGUAUGUCCUUUGAAUGUUGACUCCUAUUUGAAGAUAGCCUUGAACGUCCGACUGUGGAUUCCUUCAAGAACUAGAAGCUGGGCUUUCCGGCCACCCACCAAGGCACAAAACAAGCUUCAGUGGCCGAGGUGGCAGCUCUGUGAGGUCCAGAAGACUUCCUCAGGCCUCCUGCCCCACCCUGUGUGCGCCUGCCCGCCCUGGGGAGCCUCAGGAGUGUCCCCAUGUGUGCCCCUCAGAAGGUUGAGGGACCCUCCUCCUGCUGCCUGUAUCCUGUGCCGCUGACUUCUUACCAUGACCUG